rnacentral:rRNA from 1 species
GACGAACGCUGGCGGCGUGCUUAACACAUGCAAGUCGAACGGAAAGGCCCUUCUUUUGUGGGGUGCUCGAGUGGCGAACGGGUGAGUAACACGUGAGUAACCUGCCCUUGACUUUGGGAUAACUUCAGGAAACUGGGGCUAAUACCGGAUAGGAGCUCCUGCUGCAUGGUGGGGGUUGGAAAGUUUCGGCGGUUGGGGAUGGACUCGCGGCUUAUCAGCUUGUUGGUGGGGUAGUGGCUUACCAAGGCUUUGACGGGUAGCCGGCCUGAGAGGGUGACCGGCAACAGGGGGAAUGAGAUAAGGCCCAGACGCCGACGGCAGGCAGUAGUGGAGAAUAUUGCACAAUGGGCGGACGCAAGAUGAAGCAACGCCGAGGGCGGGAUGACGGCCGUCGGGUUGUAAACCGCUUUCGCAUGUGACGAAGCGUGAGUGACUGUAAUGGGUAAAGAAGCACCGGAUAACUACGU